rnacentral:rRNA from 1 species
UACGGAGGGGGCAAGCGUUAUCCGGAUUUACUGGGUUUAAAGCGUGCGUAGGCGGGUUGAUAAGUCGGGGGUGAAAUCUCGCGGCUCAACCGUGGAACUGCCUUUAAGACUGUCGCUCUUGGAUCGGGUUGAGGCAAGCGGAAUUUGGAAUGUAGCGGUGAAAUUCGUAGAUAUUCGCUAGAACACCGGUGGCGAAGGCGACUGACUGGGCUCGUGGUGACGCUGAGGCACGAAAGCGUGGGGAGCGAACAGG